rnacentral:pre_miRNA from 1 species
CAAGUACUCCCUCCGUCCGCAAAUACUUGUCAUCAAAAUGGAUAAAAAGAGAUGUAUCUAGAACUAAUAUACAUCUAGAUACAUCCCCUUUUAUUUAUUUUGAUGACAAGUAUUUCCGGACGGAGGGAGUACGUG